rnacentral:rRNA from 1 species
UACGGGGGAGCAAGCGUUGUUCGGAUUUACUGGGCGUAAAGGGCGCGUAGGCGGCGCAACAAGUCACUUGUGAAAUCUCCGGGCUUAACCCGGAGCGGCCAAGUGAUACUGUCGUGCUAGAGUGCGGAAGGGGCUACUGGAAUUCUCGGUGUAGCGGUGAAAUGCGUAGAUAUCGAGAGGAACACCUGCGGCGAAGGCGGGUAGCUGGGCCGACACUGACGCUGAUGCGCGAAAGCUAGGGGAGCAAACGGG